rnacentral:rRNA from 1 species
CACAGUCAGUGCACUCCCCUCGUUCAGCCUCACCCGGGCAGGCACAGCUCGGUUACCACGGACAACCAGCUCAGUCCUUUGCUGCGCGGAGGAAACCCGCUAAAUAAAUUUAAUAAUUUAUUUCUCAAGCAUUAAUAUUAAAAAAAAAAGUAAUUUUGUUUUAGUAAUUAUAUAAAAGUAUUGAUAAAAUUUGUGCCAGCUAUCGCGGUUAUACAAAUAAUACAAAUAAAAAAUUUUUGUUAAUAAUUAAAUUUUAUUUUUAAUAUAAAAAUAAAUUUAUAAGGUGAAAUUUUUAAAUUUAAAUAUUAUUUAUAAAAAAAAUAAUUGAAGUUAUAAAGUUUUUGUAAUAAACUAGGAUUAGAUACCCUAUUAUUAAAUUUAAAUAAAAAAAAUAAUAAAGUAGUAGUAGUUAUAUUCUUAAAAUUUAAAAAAUUUGGCGGUAUUUUAGUCUAUUUAGAGGAAUCUGUUCUGUAAUUGAUAAUCCACAUUGAACCUUACUUAAAUUUGUUUAAUUUGUAUAUCGUCGUCAUCAGAAUAUAUUAAAAGAUUAAAUUUUUAAAAUAUUUUUUUAAAAAUAAUAUGUCAGAUCAAGGUGCAGUUUAUGUUUAAGUAGAAAUGGAUUACAAUAAAUUUAUUUAUAUGGAUAAUUUUUUGAAAUAGAAUUUUGAAAGUGGAUUUAAUAGUAAUUAAAAAUAGAUUAUUUUUUUGAUUUUAGCUCUAAAAUAUGUACAUAUCGCCCAUCGUUCUUAUUAUUAAAAUAAGAUAAGUUGUAACAUAGUAGAUGUACUGGAAAGUGUAUCUAGAAUGAC